ensembl:lncRNA
AAGCUUUAAAUGAAGCGACUCAAUGUUUCUUCAUUACUAAAGUUCUAAAGUGACGUUCACAAAUUAUUAACGGAUCUUAAACUCAGUUGUUAAACUGACUAACUGAGAUUUGAAUCUGUGGCGUAAGGAAGUAGUUCCGCACAAAAGAGCGUUUUUAAAGAUGUGUCAACAAUAUAUGAACAAUAUGUCACAGUCAUAAACCAAGAUGUGCUGUGUGUCAUUCCUAGCAGUGUUUAUAAUGUAAAGUGAGAGACAUUUUACUAUGCAAUAAUACACGGAUCUGCUACCAAAGUCAUCAGUAUUUGUACCUGUCUUUCCUGGAAUCCAUCUAUCUACUAAAAGUUUGUUUUGCCAACUUUUAGGAUCAUUUUAGCAUGAAGGUGACUUAAACCUAAUAAAUACAUUUUGAAUGUAGUAGUUUAAUCCUUAUUCGUUUUUCCUCCUUUCCCCCUAAUUGUCUAUAUCUUGUCAUCAUCAUUAUCAUCAUCAUCAUCAUCAUCAUUAUUAGUAUUAUUUUAUUAAUUCUUCAUAUUACUUUUUAGCUUUGAGGUCUCUUGGCCAAUCCAUGAUGAAACUCACAUGUGAUUGUCAGGAUGUUGAUGGCUGUCGGCUCUCGACGGAUUAUCAGAGGAUAUAAAUCUGUUAUCAAAACAGUAUGUAGAUUAGACUGUCAAAAUGUGAGUGAAGACAAUACUAUGAAAGCGCAGCACUGCUAAGAACUUGUAGCAAAUUAUCAAGACAAAGGACUGUGACAGAGUUGUGCAGCCGACGGCCAACAAAAACAACUUACUUGUUGACAGUGACCUGUGUCUAAUACCUCCAGCAGAAUAAAUCAUGUGUCAAACUCAGGGUAAGAGUGCUGUUGGCCAGCAGCAACAGCGAAACCGGCCUCGGGACUAUUUACGACGAAGGGCGACCUGGAGGAACACGAGGAAAAAUGACAGUUCUGAGGAGCGUCUCAGUGGCUCGGGAAGCCAAACCCCCACGCCGACAUAUUUCAUCUGCUCCUCCAAGAUGUUUGAAGCCUCUGACCCAGCUGGAUUCUGCUUUGAGCUAGUAGUGUUCAAAGUGUUACACGGACACUAA